AUAUAUAUAUAUAUGUGUGUGUGUGUGUAUAAAUAUAAAAUGAAAUGAGAUUGUGACUUUACAUUUAUGGUUAUAUUUAAACAAAUAUGUGUGUAUUGACAAGGAUGAUUCGUAGAGAAAAGUGAGACUUGGUUUAAUAUGAACUAGAAUACUGGAUGUACUAUUGCGUAAUUUCACUUGAUAAUUAUAAUUAAAUUGCAAACAUAAGACUUUUUUCCUAUUUUGUUGAUUCUUUUC
rnacentral:lncRNA from 1 species